GCAAAGAACUCCUUCAUGAAUAGGGUUUCUGGGUUUUGGAUGUGAUCCCUGACUAUCUCAUUGUAAACGACUUGUCUAUUCUUUGAGAAAUAAAGUCUUAAUUGUGGUAAAAAAAAACACCCGCAAUGCCGCUUUCCGGCGCGCGGCGCCGCGAGCUCGCUCCUCCGGAUCCAUCUCCGGCGCAUCGUCCUCCUGUCGAUCCAUCGCCGGCACGUCGAUGAAAGACGAUUCCCGGUACUUUCGGGGAGAUAGCCAUCAGAAUAGGUGAUGACUUUGUGAAGAAUAAUGGGGUUCUGUUGGUGCUGUUAGAGACGCCAUCUGGCUUCGCAGUUUUCAAUUUUUCUGGGAUCCACCUGUACUUACCAGAUGCAAUAGAAAAUAUGUGGGCAAACUUCGGUAAUUUUAAUAGGGCAAAACGUCUUGUUUGGCUGAAGGAAUUUCAAACUUUUGAUGACAAGUCCAGCGCCAUUAAUGUUGAUACUGGUGUUAACAAACAACUCACUGAGAUGAUCACGAAGUGGCACCGCCCUGGGCAGAAACUUCUUGUUGGAAAACAUGAAUAUAAAUCAAUUAUUGAAACAAGCUUGAGAAUACCCUGCUUGCAUGAUGAAAUUGUGAUGGAGCUAAUGUGGGGCAUGAAGCAUCACAUGCAUAGUUUGGUAGAGCUGCCUAAAGAGGAUCGCCUCCCUGUGAGUCAAGGACUACAAAAGCUAUUGAGUCAUUAUGGC